rnacentral:lncRNA from 1 species
GAAAAUCGAAAGUGCAGCAGGAACAACACCCAAUGCAUUAGUAGUUCUCAUGUGCCUUUGCAUUUGCAAACCAAUUGUCCACAAAAAAUAGAUAUUCAGAUUCAUAACAGAAACCCCGAAUGUUUUAGUAGUUGACACAGAGCUUCAAUGUCAAGUGUUUCAGUCUAACUAUCUGCUACAAAUUCAUGAGAAGUCAAUUGUCUAACCUACAACGGUCAGAACAUGGCAGCUUGGCAAGGAACUUCCUUGAACAGGAGAUUGUGGUGGACCAGCAAAUCAAAUCAACAACAUCAGUAGUAACUGGAGAUUGGGGCAGGCCAUUGCCAUGUUAACUCUCCCAUAGAGGGUCUUGGACAUGUUUUACCGAUACAAAAAUUGAUUAGUAACUUGAACAGCGAUGAUGUUGAUAACUGAAAUUAGGCUCCUUCAUGAUGUUGUCACCUGUUUAGACAUCAUGUUUAUUUUAUAAGCUCAUCUGGUGAGCAUAGUUAUGCCCGACUGAUGUCCAUUAUGUAUUCAUAGGUUGUAUACGUGAGAAAAUUAUGCUCCAAUCAAUCUCCAUAAGGUAUCCAUAGGUUCUACGUGAGAAGAGCCUGAAUUGCAUUCCUGGAGAGAACAAUAUUAUCCAAGCACGCGAUACACAACAAAUUGAACCCAAAUCCAAAGUUAGUGUGGAUUAAAGUAUAAACCUGCAAGAAAAAGUUUGAACAAAAUAUUGUGAGAAAAUGAACCUGCACGGAUGAGGAAAACAGCUUUGAUGCAAUAAGAUAGUUUAGCACAGUGGAUCCAUGACCCAAUUUUGUUUUGAAAGAGACAUGGGUUAGCUUUCCAUGGAGUGGGAGGUGGCGGGAGGCAGAGACAUAACGCAAGAUUGCUUGCAGUUGUUUUUGAACCCGGAGAGGAAGAGAUGGUGGAGAAGCAGUGAUCUCUUUCCGGCCUGGAGGAAGAAGUACAGGGCGUCAUGUCCAUCAACAAUAGUGUUUAAUCUUUCUGAUAUUACUGCCACCUAAUGAUGUUGUAUCUUUUUCCUAGCAUACUCUUGUUUUCAUUCUUAUUAUCUAGUUCUGCAAAUACCCUUUAUUUGUUCUGUUCAGUGAGCAUGAUAAUAAUUGACAAAAGGGCAGCAUGUCGUGGACCACAUUUAUAGCAAUUAAGUGAGUCAAUUACCAGAACUUGAGAAAACUAUACGUUCAGUAUGCAGCACUCCCAGCUGCACUUUGAUAGAAAAAUAUAUGCGAAAAGCAUUCAGCGGAUCCGACAAAGAAACUGAAGCAAGUAUAACACAUAGUUUAAGAACAGGGGACCCUCCCAAUACUACUAUACCUGAUUUUGUCAACAAAGAGCAUAAUAGGUCGCUAGUUUGCUACAUCUUGAGGAAAGGAGCAUAUACACAAUAUUAUUAGUUGAGGGUCUCUGCCACGCAAUAAUUUGACAAAUAUGUUACCACAUUUUUUAAAACAAAUUUACAGUUUUCAAGAUAAAGAAAAGUAUUUGACAGCUUGCAUGGAAGGAGUUUUUACCUUAAACUGUGAGUGUCUUCGAUCAGGCCUUCUUGUGUGCUUGCUAUUCCUGCACAAUAGGCAAACAUGACAGGCUUUGCAUGAAAACCAAUCUGGAUCAAGGUGCAAAUCCAUUGACGCAGCUAGUCACAUAGAGGAUGUGACGUUACUAAGUUGGUGCACUGAUCGAUGGAUGCGACGGCGCCAUCUCGUCCACAACGACAACGUUAAGAAACAGCGUCGGCGGGGCGUGCACUAAUCAGUCCAUGCGACGGCACAAUCAUUCUCAUCGACAACGGCGGUAAUAAGGAGCAGUGGGCAUGGCAUGCACUGAUAGAUCCUUGUUGCGGCACCACCAUCUAGCGACAACAGCGGCAUGGUAUGUGUGUGUUGCCGUAUAUACCGACUCAAGAAUAGUAGUAUAUAUCGACUAAAAUAUUAUGUGUAUAUACUUACUAAAAAAAGUAGUAAGCCGAUUCACAAAAAAAUACUAUGUAUUGCCUUGCAAAAAAUUUUGUAUACACUGCAUCUGAAAAAAGUGUAUACUUACUUCAUUAAAAAGUAUGUUAUAUACCCCCUUUGAUUUAAUUGCGUAUGCUAUAUACUGCCGUGCACAAAGAGCACUGUACAUACUACUUGGUUGUAGAUAUAUAUAGACAAAAUACAGUACAAUAGUAUAUACUUGAAAUUAGCACCUUAUAUACUACUUCUGAUGGUAGCAUAUACCACAAGGAAAAUAUAAAAAUGACAUCAGCUGUUCUAACCAGUUCUAAAAUGUGGAAUAGAGUCCAUGGUAAAAAUGUGGUAUAUACUCCAUUACAACAAAGUUAGUAUAUACAAUAUGACAAAAAUAUUGUUCUGGUAUAUACUGAUUAUUGACGCCAUACUCCGUCCAAAGCUCCCAAGGCACGGGAAAAAAAUAGAAGGACCGUAUAUUUUCAAGAGUUAGCAACUUGGUUUCUACUCUCAUAGUCAUAGGUGCAGUAGUAUUUCCUCCGUGAAUUAACAUGCCUUUGCCAAAAGAUGCUAAUCAUACAAUGACCUUGUUUCUGUAGCAUAAAUGGAUGAAGCAUCAUUGAUCAAUACUUGGACGGGGAAUGAAUUGCUUCUUGUGGGAAUCAGCAGAGACGUUUUAUUGGCAAAUAAAGCUCAAAUCCUGCAUACUAAACUGCAGUACACUGGGAAAUAGAAAGCAAUGCAUAGGGUAUUAGGUAAAUUAAAAUAUGGUAAGGUUCAUUAGGUUAAAGCAGAACCCUAGCAAUUAAAAACAAAAUUGCAUUGUCCUCUGUCAAAUUCAAUCCAAUCGACCACUCUCGACUAUUAGUAUUAACUGAAGCACCUAUUAACAAACUAACUAAACCACCAUGAUUGAAAAAACUAUCUAAAUCACCAUUGUGCAGCCAGAGGAUUGUACUAUUGACCAAGUUCCUCGGCAAACCCAAGUUCGCGCGGUAGUGGAGAUUAUGCCCACGAACAUGGAAAUCUAGUAGUACUCCACCUAGAACACCCGUGAAUUUUUCCAACCAAGUUCCAUGAGAGAACUUUAGAGAAGAAAAAUAUGGAACUUUAGAGAAGAAAAAUUACCUUGCCCAGCAACCACUGAGAACAUGGUCGAAUUUGCUACGCGUAGUGCGUUCUUCUCCGGAGACUUCCGCGCCUCGGCGGUCCAAAGUGUGGAGGGGCACAACAGGACACCAUUGUUGUCACAUAUAGGCAUCGCCGCAGGAGAGGAGAGAGUCAUGUGUCAUCGUAAAUGCGGAUGUGACGUUCGAUCUGAGCGGAGGAGCAGGAGGUGGGGAUAGAUCAACGGACGUGACACAGCCCGCCUCCUGCGCGGUUCCUCGACCAGACGCAUCACCGCCACUCGACUGGAAGUAGCCAUCGCCGCGUGCUGGUCCAAGGGAGAGGAUCAAGGAGAGAGAUGGUUAAGGUGGCGAUGGAGGUGGUGGGAUGCUACAGAGGGUGGAUGCGAUGGGCACUGGCG